rnacentral:lncRNA from 1 species
AUGGAGCUGAAGAACUGCUCCACCGAGCCCUGCCUGGACGCUGGGCUCUCAGAGCAAGCAAGCAAGACAUGGGGCAGCUUUCUGUGCAACAGUCCCCCGCUGCGGGCUGUGAGCUGCCCCAGGUACAACCCGACCCCCAGCUUGGCCUUGUCUAUCCCCUGCCCCCCUCCAGCUCAGGCUGAGCAGAGAAGCCCCCACUGCUGCUCAAGACAGACUCUAAAUGCUGCACCUGCCUUCCCUCUCCACGCAGCCUCAUCUACAGGAAGCGGAGGCUCUUCUGUCUUGCUGAAGCCCACACGGGCACGAGGCAACCCACAGGGGUGCUCCGGGGGGCCUGUGCCCCUGGACUCAGUGUCCCUGGCCUUGGUUUCCCCUCCUGAAAACUGGGCUUGUGAUGGUAACUUUGCACGGGGCUGCUGGGAAGAUGCCGGCCCCAGGGUGCUAUGACUGGGGAUUGUG